rnacentral:rRNA from 1 species
UACAGAGGUCUCAAGCGUUGUUCGGAUUCAUUGGGCGUAAAGGGUGUGUAGGUGGCGCCGUAAGUCGGGUGUGAAAUUUCGGAGCUUAACUCCGAAACUGCAUUCGAUACUGCGGUGCUUGAGGACUGGAGAGGAGACUGGAAUUCAUGGUGUAGCAGUGAAAUGCGUAGAGAUCAUGAGGAACACCGGUGGCGAAGGCGGGUCUCUGGGCCGAUACUGACGCUGAGGAGCGAAAGCGUGGGGGAGCAAACAGG